GAUGAACGCUGGCGGCGUGCCUAAUACAUGCAAGUCGAGCGAACAGACGAGGAGCUUGCUCCUCUGAGGUUAGCGGCGGACGGGUGAGUAACACGUGGAUAACCUACCUAUAAGACUGGGAUAACUUCGGGAAACCGGAGCUAAUACCGGAUAAUAUAUUGAACCGCAUGGUUCAAUAGUGAAAGACGGUUUUGCUGUCACUUAUAGAUGGAUCCGCGCCGCAUUAGCUAGUUGGUAAGGUAACGGCUUACCAAGGCAACGAUGCGUAGCCGACCUGAGAGGGUGAUCGGCCACACUGGAACUGAGACACGGUCCAGACUCCUACGGGAGGCAGCAGUAGGGAAUCUUCCGCAAUGGGCGAAAGCUUGACGGAGCAACGCCGCGUGAGUGAUGAAGGUCUUCGGAUCGUAAAACUCUGUUAUUAGGGAAGAACAAAUGUGUAAGUAACUAUGCACGUCUUGACGGUACCUAAUCAGAAAGCCACGGCUAACUACGUG
rnacentral:rRNA from 1 species